GACGAACGCUGGCGGCGUGCUUAACACAUGCAAGUCGAACGGAAAGGCCCUUCUUGGGCGGGGUGCGCGAGUGGCGAACGGGUGACUAACACGUGACUAACCUGCCCUUGACUUUGGGAUUACUUCAGGAAACUGGUGUUACUACCGGAUAGUAGAUUCUCCUGCUUGGAGGGGGUUGGAUCGGUUCGGUGGUUGCGGGUGCACUAGCGGGUUAUCAGCUUGUGGGGGAGGUAGUGGCUUACCAAGGCUUCGAUGGGUAGCCGGCCUGAGAGGGUGACCGGCCAAAAGAGGACUCAGAUACGGCCCAGAGUCCUGAGGGAGGCAGCAGUGGGGAAGAUUGCACGAUGGGCGGAAGCCUGGUGCAGCAACGCCGCGUGCGGGAUGACGGCCUUCGGGUUGUAAACCGCUUUCGCCUGUGGCGAUGCGUGAGUGACGGUAAUGGGUAAAGAAGCACCGGCUAACUACGUG
rnacentral:rRNA from 1 species